GAUGAACGCUGGCGGCGUGCCUAAUACAUGCCAGUCGAGCGAACGGACGAGAAGCUUGCUUCUCUGAUGUUAGCGGCGGACGGGUGAGUAACACGUGGAUAACCUACCUAUAAGACUGGGAUAACUUCGGGAAACCGGAGCUAAUACCGGAUGAUAUUUUGAACCGCAUGGUUCAAAAGUGAAAGACGGUCUUGCUGUCACUUAUAGAUGGAUCCGCGCUGCAUUAGCUAGUUGGUAAGGUAACGGCUUACCAAGGCAACGAUGCAUAGCCGACCUGAGAGGGUGAUCGGCCACACUGGAACUGAGACACGGUCCAGACUCCUACGGGAGGCAGCAGUAGGGAAUCUUCCGCAAUGGGCGAAAGCCUUACGGAGCAACGCCGCGUGAGUGAUGAAGGUCUUCGGAUCGUAAAACUCUGUUAUUAGGGAAGAACAUAUGUGUAAGUAACUGUGCACAUCUUGACGGUACCUAAUCAGAAAGCCACGGCUAACUACGUG
rnacentral:rRNA from 1 species